UAGUCAUAUGCUUGUCUCAGAGAUUAAGCCAUGCAUGUCUAAGUACAAACCUUAAAAUGGUGAAACCGCGAAUGGCUCAUUAAAUCAGCUAUUGUUCCUUAGAUCGUACAUACUACAUGGAUAACUGUAGUAAUUCUAGAGCUAAUACAUGCCAAUAUGCCCCGACCCGCAAGGGAACGGGUGGUUUUAUUAGAACAGAACCAACCGGUGGCGGUUCGCUGCUGCCGUGCAAUUCUGUGAUGACUCUGGAUAACUUCAACGAUCGCAGUCGGCCUUGUGCCGGCGAUGGAUCUUUCAAAUGUCUGCCCUAUCAAUUGUCGAUGGUAGGUGACCUGCCUACCAUGGUUAUAACGGGUAACGGGGAAUCAGGGUUCGAUUCCGGAGAGGGAGCCUGAGAAACGGCUACCACAUCCAAGGAAGGCAGCAGGCGCGCAAAUUACCCAAUCCCGGAACGGGGAGUAGUGACGAAAAAUACGGAUACGGGACUCAGCAGAGGCUCCGUAAUUCGAAUGAGUACAAUUUAAAUCCUUUAACGAGGACCAACUGGAGGCAAGUCUGGUGCCAGCAGCCGCGGUAACUCCAGCUUCAGAAGCGUAUAUUAAAGUUGUUGCAGUUAAAAAGCUCGUAGUUGGAUCUGGGGUGUGUGGUCACCUGCUGCUGCUCAUGCUUGCGGUCUGAUUCCGAUUGGAUUGCGAGUGUGGCCGGUGUAGUGGCUGUUCAUCCUUUCUGCCGUGUCUGUGAAAACGGGUGCUGACUGGGUUUGUGGGGCAACCUGCUUAUCUGUUGGCAUGCUUUCAGAUGCCUUUAACAGGGUGUCGGGAGCGGACGGCAUAUUUACUUUGAACAAAUUUGAGUGCUCAAAGCAGGCCCAUGUGCCUGAAAAUUCUUGCAUGGAAUAAUGAAAUAGGACUUCGGUUCUAUUUUGUUGGUUUUCGGAUCCGAAGUAAUGGUUAAGAGGGACAGACGGGGGCAUUUGUAUGGCGGCGUUAGAGGUGAAAUUCUUGGAUCGUCGCCAGACAAACUACAGCGAAAGCAUUUGCCAAGGAUGUUUUCAUUGAUCUGGAGCGAAAGUCAGAGGUUCGAAGACGAUCAGAUACCGUCCUAGUUCUGACCAUAAACGAUGCCAACUGACGAUCCGUGGUGGUUCUGAAAUUGUCCCCACGGGCAGUCCCCGGAAAACCUUUAAGUCUUUGGGCUCCGGGGGAAGUAUGGUUGCAAAGCUGAAACUUAAAGGAAUUGACGGAAGGGCACCACCAGGAGUGGAGCCUGCGGCUUAAUUCGACUCAACACGGGGAAUCUCACCCGGCCCGGACACUGCAAGGAUUGACAGAUUAAUAGCUCUUUCUUGAUUCGGUGGUUGGUGGUGCAUGGCCGUUCUUAGUUGGUGGAGCGAUUUGUCUGGUUAAUUCCGAUAACGAACGAGACUUUGGCCUGCUAAAUAGUAUGCCUGUCCUCUGCGCUCGUGCAGAUCAUUGUUCUGAAGCCUCCCUGUGGGGUGUAGGGGCUUUGGUCGGCGGGUGCGGCGCAGGUUUAGACUUCUUAGAGGGACAAGCGACUAAAUUCGCACGAGAUUGAGCAAUAACAGGUCUGUGAUGCCCUUAGAUGUCCGGGGCCGCACGUGCGCUACAAUGACGGUUUCAGCGAGUUUGGAAUCCUGGCCUGAAAGGGUUGGGUAAACUGAACCAUAACCGUCGUGACUGGGAUCGGGGCUUGCAAUUAUACCCCGUGAACGAGGAAUUCCUGGUAAGUGCAAGUCAUUAGCUUGCGCUGAUUACGUCCCUGCCCUUUGUACACACCGCCCGUCGCUACUACCGAUUGAAUGGUUUAGCAAGGUCGUCGGAUUGGCGCCAUUGAAGUGGCUUUGCUGCUCAACCGGUGCUGAGAAGACGACCGAACUUGAUCAUUUAGAGGAAGUAAAAGUCGUAACAAGGUUUCGU
rnacentral:rRNA from 1 species